UGUGCCCCUAGGGGCGGACUGAGAAGUCAGUGUGAAGUUUCCCUGUGUGAGUUCCAGCAAAGGAGACUAAAAGAUCCUAGGUGAUCCAGGCUGCCCUUGGUGUGUCCAAGUCUAGGAACAGUCAAAUUUCAAAGCGGAUCCAAAUUAGUCCCCUGAAUAAUCACCCCAUGGAGGGUGAUCUGAAGGAGAAAAAUGGCAGUUGAAGGACAAUCCAAAUGCUCAAUAUUGGACCUCAGAGUGGCUCGUGUACCUGUGUUGAAAGUUUGCUUUCAUUUGAAGGUUGAAACCGGGAUCGUAAUAUCACCAGAGAUGGACCAUGGACAGGUGCAAAGGACCUGCCAAAUGGCUAUUGUUAAGUGUCAUUGAGAGGAGGGCCUUGAAACUGCAUGUCUUUUCAAGAGAAAGGCCCACUGGCCCAGAGACUGUGUCGGGGAUGGUUGUGUGAAUUGACCUGUGUGUCCUUCAUUUUUCAUAGGGUGUAUACGGACGACCUGAUGCCCUGAGUGAUUGGUUGCAAUCGAGGCCUCAGAAUAGGACAAGGAUGCCAGCUGCCCAGUACAGCCAGCCCUUGGACACCAAGCCCUCGACUUCCUGGUGACAGCCACGUGACCAGGAUUCUGAAAGGUCCUUUUCCUGACAGGAAGGACUUCCUGUGUGCUGAAGGGCACCUCCUUUGAGGGCACCUCGGUCCCAAGGGUGCUGGCUCCACUGUGGUGUCCAUCACCAGUAUCUUCACCAUCAGUGGUUUGUGCCAUAAAAGGACAUGCGGCUAGACCCCGUACAGUCAAGUUCCACAUAGUCACUUGCAUAAAACCUGAUUAGAAACACUGGUCAGAUAGCUCAUUUCUUUUCCAGGUUUAGCCAAAGCCUCCUUGAGUUUAUUUGUACAUUCAUAGAGGAUAUAUAGAGAUGAAAGUGUAUAUACUUCUGAGUCUAAAAUUUUGGAAGUGCCUAAACUAGGUGGUCAUUUUAAUGUCUAAAACUUGCAUUUUGUGAUUUUUUAUCUGAAAUACUGAGAUUAAAAUGGACUUGACUCAAAAUGUGUUUGGAAUAAUAAAUGUGAAAUGGCAUUUUUAAAAAGUAGUAAUUUUCAUUUAUGAUACUAUGUAUUAAUAAUUUAAUUGUGAAUAAUGUUCUUAAAUGCCACUUUAAAACUUAUGACAUCAUAAAUAAUUAAUAAAGGAUUUUCUUGUCCUAGCUGGUGUCACUCAGUGUAGUGAGCUUUACCCUGUGAACCUGAAGUUCGCUGGCACA